rnacentral:lncRNA from 1 species
GCCAUUUUCGAGUGAUGCCUGAUCUCAUCAAUCUAGCGGGAGAGACAGGAUAACCUGUCCGAGAGUAUAGCGCCACUAUGACUCCGCCGGAAAAAUUACUUUAAAAAUCGCCAAAAAUUACUUGGAGCAAAGGGCAGUCGGCGGAGCUUCGCCAAGGCUGGCGCAGUCGGUUUUGACCUGUAGCAGAGAACCAAUUCUGGAGAACAGCCUCACUUCUUUGAUUGAAUACUUACAUAAUGCAUUGGAACAUGACAUGAGAUUAAGGUUUAAUAAUGAUAGAAUGAAGACCACAAUAAAAGAGACCUCUACUUAGCUCAGCAAUUCUUACCUUGUGGAUAAUUACUGUACCUUCCUCAUGGAAAAAGUUUUAUUUAAAGUGUUAUUUCUCAUUGAAUACUAUCAAAAAGGAAAAAAAAAUGACCUAAACUUUUGAGAUAGAUUUGGCUCUAGUAAGUAUUUAGUUAUAUCACUUGCAUAUCUGGGAGAAGAAAUAAGAGACUAUCAUCAGUACAUUCCCAUCUACUAAAAAAAUUUAUUUUACACAUGUCAAGGGAUUACUUAUAACUUCCAUUUUAUUACUAAUAGCUUGAACCCUUUUAAUGAAGACCUAACUCCUCCACCAGAAAUUUAAGUUUAUGUUCUUACUUUGUUUACUUAUAAAAUACAUCUCAGGUAUUUCGGAUGUCUUUUUUUUUUCUAAGCCUAUAUGAAAUGAAAAAUAUAUUGGCAAAAUAAAUGUUUAAACCUUUUACGUUAAAAUUACUUUGAAAGAUGAAAAGUUAGUGCUGUUUUUGUCUACGUUAUACUGAAAUUAAAUGUUUAUAAUUUAUAUUUUGGGUUUAUGUAUAAAUCAUGGAAUUUAUGCAAAAAUAUGAGUAGUACAGAUUCUCCUCUAAUUCUGUAGGACUUUGAAUAAUGUGAUAUUUUUCUUAUAAUUGGACCCUUGUGUUUUGAAGAAAUGCCAACUGCUUGAAGAAUCUCCUUGUUAUUUGUAUUAUUUGCUAUAGGGUUAGAUGUUGAGAAAUUCUGCUGACAAAAAAUUUUAAGCCAGUUUUACACUAAAUGUUCCUCAGUCUGAUUAAUUUGUUAUUGGAUGUAUUCUGUAUCUUUCUUUUGUAAUUUGUAACUUUUAUCCACUUAGCACGAAUGAUUCUAUUAAAGAAAAUCAUUAGGAAGUGGUAGAAACUUUAAAUCGCCCCAGAGUUUGCCUGUUUCCAUAUUUUAUUAUCUUAUAAUCUUCGGGAGUGCUUACACUUAUGGAGCUAACAUUUUCAGAGAUACAGCUUCUUAUAGUAACACUAAAACUUUCUUCCUCUUUGGACUGAAUACCUAUAAUUAUAACUAUAUGGUAGUUUAAGUUUCCUUGUGAUUAGUCAAAAAUACCAUUUUAGUAUGAAGCAAUGAAGUCUAUUAUUUGUUGUCCCAUAAUUGAGAAAGCUUAAAUACACCUUUUAUUAAGAGUUUGUAAAUUCUAGCUUAGUCUACACAGAUUUUUAUAUCAAUUUGUUUAUAUUUUUAUUAAUGUCAUUUCUGGAAGUGUGAAAAUGUUAAUGUUCAACAAGCAACAUUAAAAAUAGAUUUGAAACAUUUAUAUAUAGAGAGGUACACAUUUAUUUACUGUUUAGGUACUGAAGAUUAUCACUUAAUAAAAAAUAUAUAUCCCAGCCCCCUUGAAGCUUAUUAAUCUUGGGGGUAGAGGAGUGAGUGAUGGAAUGAAUGGACAAAAAAGCUGGUAGGUACUAUAUUUGGUAUGUCAGAGAGUGACAAGUUCUGUGGAGAAAAUAAAGCAGGGAAAGUGAGAAUGAUGUGAUAAAGGUGUUUGUAAGGCAGAAGAGAGAUAUUUUUAAAUAGUAUGGUCAGGAACUACCCUACAGAGAGGACAUUUGAACAAAGACCUAGAAACAAUAAGGGAGCAAACCAUGUAGGUACCUGGGAGAAGACCCUUCUGAGCAGAUGAAAUAGCAAAUACAAAGACCCUGAGGCUGAAGCAUUUUUUGUGUGUACAUGGAACAGCAAAGAGGCACAUGUAGCUGUGAUCAAAUAUAAACAGGAAGAAUAGUAGCUUAUAGGAUCAGAGAGUUGAUAGGGGCCAUAUCUUGUAGCUGUUUAAGCUACAAGAUAUCUGAGCUACAGAUUCAGUUUUUCAUACUUUGUUUUGAGUGAGUGUCGCUCUGUUGCCCGUGCUAGAGUGCAAUGGCAUGAUUCUCGGCUCACUGCAACCUCCGCCUCCUGGGUCCAAGCAAUUCUCCUGCUUCACCCUCCCGAGUAGCUGGGAUUGCAGGCACCCACCACCAUGUCCAGCUAAUUUUUUUGUAUUUUUAGUAGAGAUGGGGUUUCGCCAUAUUGGCCAGGCUGGUCUCUAGAACUCCUGACCUCGUGAUUCGCCCACCUCGGCCUCCCAAAGUGCUGGAAUUACAUGUGUGAGCCACCAAGCCCGGCCCAGUUUUUCAUACUUCUUUAAGAUAGUUUUGACAGGUAUAUGUGCCUUAGCCUAUUUGAUGUCGGCAGAUAGGACAGAAUAUUUUUAUGAAUCUGAUUUGAGAUUAGACCCCCCAUCAGACCAACUUAGAAUACAAACAGUGUUUAAGUGGGGGGUUAAUAGGUAUUGUGUGAUGAUCAGGACUUUGCAAAUUUUGCAUUGAUGGCUUUGAAAGUGUUUUCUGCGUGAUCAAUUUAGGUGGAUCCAAAACUAAUGACUCCAAGAAACACUGAAUUUGCUCAUGUUUGUCAUAUACCCAAAUGAACCACAGUGUUUUUGAUUACUUCAUCCUUGAAAUUUCUACUAUAAUUAAGUACUUCGUUGUUUUUCACUUAUUUCUAUUUAGCAGCAUUUUAACUAGUUCUUUGCCUCUAGCUGUUUUUGUUGUUGUUUUUGAGAGUCUCACUCGGUUGCUCAAACUGGAGUGCAGUGGUACCAUCUCAGCUCACCGCAACCUCUGCCUCCCGGGUUCAAGCGAUUCUCCUGCCUCAGUCUCCUGCAUAGCUGGGAUUACAGGCAUCUGCCACCACACCCAGCUAAUUUUUGUAUUUUUAGUAGAGACGGUGUUUCACUGUGUUAGCCAGGCUGAUCUCAAA